rnacentral:rRNA from 1 species
UCAAGAUAAGAUUUCCCACCGCAAGGGUAAGACUCCAGAAAGACUAUCUGGUUGAUAGGUCGAAGGUGUAAGUGCAGCAAUGUAUUUAGCUUAUCGAUACUAAUAGGUCGAGGACUUGACCAA